rnacentral:rRNA from 1 species
UACAGAGGGUGCAAGCGUUAAUCGGAAUUACUGGGCGUAAAGCGUGCGUAGACGGUUAUUUAAGUCAGGUGUGAAAGCCCCGGGCUCAACCUGGGAAUUGCAUUUGAGACUGAAUAGCUAGGGUGCGGAAGAGGGAAGCGGAAUUUCCGGUGUAGCGGUGAAAUGCGCAGAUAUCAGGAGGAACACCGGUGGCGAAGGCGGUUCUCUGGGCCUGUACUGACGCUGAGGAGCGAAAGCGUGGGGAGCGAACAGG